GCCCGUCUAGCUCAGUCGGUAGAGCAUCAGACUUUUAAUCUGAGGGUCGUUGGGUCCAAGUUCCACUUUGGGCG
rnacentral:tRNA from 1 species